rnacentral:rRNA from 1 species
UACGGAGGGGGCUAGCGUUGUUCGGAAUUACUGGGCGUAAAGAGCUCGUAGGCGGCUUGUCACGUCGGAUGUGAAAGCCCGGGGCUUAACCCCGGGUCUGCAUUCGAUACGGGCUAGCUAGAGUGUGGUAGGGGAGAUCGGAAUUCCUGGUGUAGCGGUGAAAUGCGCAGAUAUCAGGAGGAACACCGGUGGCGAAGGCGGAUCUCUGGGCCAUUACUGACGCUGAGGAGCGAAAGCGUGGGGAGCGAACAGG